CAGCCUCCUGGGUAGAGAGCGUGCCAUCUCUGUGAGCUCCAAAAACAACCAUUUCGUGCUGAGUGUCAUGUCAAGCACUUUGUGCAUGCUCAAGCAAACAGUUCUCAAAUUGAAGUGAAGACAUGAAAGGGAGAAAGAAAAACCCUGGAGCCAGAUGGAGCUCUUGAAAGUAGACACUCAGAUAUCCUUAAAAGGAUUUCCGGUUGAUUUCUACACAUGAAAUGAGAGGCUCUGGAUUCCUUCAGGUUGAUAUGAAUCGGAAUCUUGACAAGUGACAGUAUCGACAAAGAGUACAAUUGGUCUUCCCAGGACACUGUUAUUAUCUCAAUUUCUCAGAUUGUGGAGGCCUGUUCAAGAGGUUUCAGAGAAAAACAAUUUUAGCAACUGAACUAGAGACAGUUUCUAUGAUAUUUUGGCAAAGUUAUGGAUGCCUUCUGACUUUGUCCUAAGAAUUUGUCUGAGACUAAACUGAAAAGCGAUGGAAUGAUUUCUUCAAUGGAGAUUUCUAAACAGCAUAACAUUGACUCACACAGGCCUACAACCAAAUACAGUGAGUAUGACAAAAAGAAAUACAAAGUUUCAUUUUAGAAGAAAAAUGACCCCAGAAUUUUAAUGUUGGAAUCAAGCUUACUCCUGAAAAAGAUGAGAUUAAGAAAAAAACAUGAUCCAAAAUGAACCAAAAAAAAGAAAUAGUGCCCUCAGGGCAGGCACCUAACCAACUAAGCUUCCAACUUAUGACAAGGGAAAAGGAAUUUUCUGAUUCUACCAUGAAACUAUACAAUAAAAGUUACUGCAAAUGUAAUUCAAUGAGGUCAGUCUUCAUCCAACAUAGGCAGCUGAACUGGGCAAUGUUGUAUGUGUGGUACUGGUUUUGGAGUCAUUAAGGAAGCACAAAUAAGGGGGUUAUGAAAUCUUCCUGUUUUUCAGGGAGUCAUUAAGGAAACACAAAGUGGUUGUGGAAUCUUACUCAAUUUUCAGAAGAGUUGCUGAGAGCAAGUGACAGGAUGUUCCUAUAUGUAGACCCUGAGAGAACAUUGUGAAAAUCUCUGAGAAUGAAUACUGGAUGGCACUGGAUAUGUCAAAGUGCUAGCAGUGAAAGAGAUGAUAUAUUUACCAAGGAGAGCUGUUAAAGAGAGAGUGGAACCAGCCCAUAAUAGAGAUGUGUGUUAGAGUCAGAAAAACUGGAAGGACAGUUUUAUGUCCAUAAUAACUGGAAAUUCAAUUGCUAUGUAGUUACAUUUUAAAAUAGUUUUUAUAUUAAGGAAAUUCUACUUUUUAGUUGAAACGCUAUGUCUUAUGCCUCCCAAAGUGAUGGUAUUAUCAAGUGUCACCCUUUGAGAAGUGAUUACAUCUUGGGAGUAGAAAUUUCAUAAAUAAGGUUAGACCCUCCUAAUAAUAAUAAGGAAGCUUGUUUAGGCAUUCCAUAUGUGAAAAUGAAAUAAAAAGAAACCGGUCAUAAAGAUGAUGCUCUCACCAAACACCUACUUCUAUCAGAAUAUUGAUUUAAGUAUCUCUCAUCUCUAGAACUUCAAGGAAUAAUAAUUUUUGUUAACUAUACAAGCUAUAUUAUUUUGUUGUAGCAACAAGAAUGGAUUAAGACAACCUUUCCAACCAGUGUUUCUAGAUAAGAGGUUGGAAAAUUAUAACUUAUAUGUAACACUAAUUGAUAAACGGUCUUAUUAAUUAAAAAAAAACAGAGCCAAAUAUUGGGGUGAAAACUGAAAUAUCAGAGGAAUAGGACAAGCCACAGCCAACCUCACCUUACCAACUCCUCAGCCUUCAGAGAGAGCUACUUCCUGUAUACUGAUGCCUACAUACCUUUCUGUGCCCUGCCAUCUUACUUCCUCUCUCCACCCAGCUACAUCAUUUCCUCUUUCUGCCCAGCUCUAUCACUUCCCGUGGGUCUCCAGACCUCUAUGGUUAACUAGCACUGGGAUUAAAGAUGUGUGCCACCACACCUGGCUAUGUUUCCAGUGUGGCCUUGAACUCACAGAGAUUCAGAUGGAUCUCUGCCUCCUGAAUGCUAGGAUUAAAGUCAUGUGCUAACACUGCUUGACCUCUAUAUUUAAUAUAGUGGCUGGCUUUUUCUUCUGAUAUCCACAUAAACUUUAUUGGGGUGCACAAAUAUCACCACACUUAUAAGCCCAUACUCUGCUACUAUGUCCAAUUGUUUGUUGCAUAAAUACAAGCUUUAUAAAGUGUUCCUUUUUUAUUUAUUUAAUUUAAAAUAUUUAUAACAGACUUGAUGACUGAGACACUAAAUUUGAAGAAUUGUUAAGAAAAAUGUAACUUCUCAAAACCUAAUUGUGUUACAAAAUGUCUUUUAUUGCUAAUAUCAUCUUUGUAUUUUAUCUAAUUCAAAACUUAUGAAAAUAUGGAUGGUUGGCUAUUUAAGUAUCAGUAUAAUAUCCUUAAUGCUGACUAAAACUGCUUAACUGUAUGCUAUGUGCUAUCUGAUGCUUUAGAAAAAACAAUUUGUUGACUUCUUUUAUAGCUCUUAAUACAAAUGAGCAUAACCUUCUGGAGAUAAAGAUAAAAAUAUAGUUUUGCUCCUCAUCCAACCAUCAAUGUGGCUACAUUGAUUUUGAUUCAGUAAGCCACAGAUGAGUACUAGUAAUGCCAAUAUUUUUUUCAGAAACAGAGAAUGCUGACAUAUUGAGAUGGUUCAAUACUGCCUUUUAAGUAUAGUCACAUCUUGUUUAAUGACAAAUUUCCUUGUUGGAAAUUUAGUUUUGUGAUUUUUGUGGUUGUACGAACAUCGUAGACUAAGUAUAAGUCCCUUAAGGCACACAAGUGGCUAGGCCCCUCCCCUGAGGACCUUCAAUCAUCAGGCUCCACCUACAGAACACAGAACUGUUCCAUCAGUCAGACCCAGCCCACACCCUACAAAAUAAAAAGCCCAUGGUUAGGAUUUGAAAUCUUGCCAAUUUCUGUACUUGCUCCAAGCUCUGGACAUGAACUCUCACCAGUCCUCAUCUAUCCCUCAUAUUUAGUAAGAAAAUAUUUAUAUCUGCUAUGUUAUAAAAUGCCCAUCAUUGAUAAAAAAUAUUAUUAUACAGUAUAUAACUCUGCAUAGGAGUUAGUGAUUCCCUAUGAAGAUGAUGUAAAUAUUCAUUAUAAAGUCUUCUACAGUGUGAAUUGACACAGUGAUCCCACUUAUCUGUGUUUCCUUUCAUCAAUGAACAUUUCUCUAAUCACCUUUCUUUGUAAUAUAGCUUUUUUUAUAAGCAACAAAGCCUUACUUGGUUUUAGAAGUUGGUGGUUACUGAUUUGCAAUGGUAUGAAAAAAGAAUUAUGAUUCAUGUGUUUCACAGAUUUGCUCUUAAGUUCAUUUUUAUGUUCUUUUUAUUAUUGUUUAUGUAUUAUAUGAAGGUAUGUUUUUACAUAUCUGCCAACUGUUUCAUUCAUCAAUUUAUUUGUCCAUCUAAUUUUCUUACAAAUGUAUUUUAAAUUUGCUGCACUGCCUUUGAUCAUAAUUGUUUUGAAAUAUUUGUUUUCUAUAAAUAUAAAAUACAACGUGUGCUCUCAUCUAUUUUGCCAUUUACCAAUGUCCCCUGGAAAGAGCAAGUUUAGUGACAUCCUGUUACAAACAACAGGUUGUUUUUUUUUCAUUCAAAUUAUUAUGAUAGCAAAUUUCAGAAUUAUCUUUAGAAAGUAGAAAUUAUUGGUAGAAUAACUCAAUAAUAAUUCAAGAAAGCAUUGGAUUAGGAAAGAAAUAAUCCUUCUUCUGAGACAAAUUCUAACAUAAAAUGCUGGUCUCCUUUAAUGAAGGUUUAAAUGUCAGCCAGCAGUUCAUAUAUUUCGUGAUCUAAUAUUUUAUCCUUUACUCUUUUUCUUUACUCCAGUCAUGUUUAUUUACCAUUUCAUCUAUAAUGAUGUUACAAAAAAAUUCAAAUGGCUCUUCUUUUAGUGAUGUGGAUGAUUUUUUUUCAUAUAUUCUGUGAAUGUUCUCCAUUUGAGGACAAUAUGUCAACUAUUACCUUACAAAGUUAUGUUAUACAUUUUCUCAAUGCUAAAAUCAUGGUUUGAUAUUUCAAUACAUAAAAAUUAAAUUUACUGGAACUCCUCUUUUAAUUAAUGAAUUCCUUAUGGUAAUCAAAGUCAUUUACAUAGUUUUCUUAACUAGUCAAGGAGCUUUAUUUGACAUCUAUAGACAGAUUCCACAUUGUUUUAUUUACUUAAUGACAUUUUUAAUUUCUUUUGGAAUCAUAAAUGACAGCUAUGCUUUGCAUAUUAUAAAGAUAAAGGUAACAAUAAAUACAUGUAGUCUAAGAUCAGUUUUAGUGUUAGUAACAACUCAAAGUUCUUGGCCUAAGAUUGAAACUAAUAUUUCAACUAACCAAUUAUUUUUCUCUCAUAAACUCAACAUAAAUUAUCUCUGUGACUUGUACUGCUUUUAGAGAAAGUUGUGUUACUGUUUUUCAAUGUAUAUGCAUUAUAAAAAUAAUUAUGGAGAAAUAUUUGUAUUUUAGCAUUAAAAUACUUAACAUUUAGGCAUGUAUCAGAACUGAGAAUUAGUGAACAUGAUGCAAUCAUCUAAGGAAGUCAUACUGCCUAAG